rnacentral:tRNA from 1 species
GCCCUCGUAGCUCAGUGGAUAGAGCAACGGUUUCCUAAACCGUGUGUCGGAGGUUCGAUUCCUCUCGGGGGCA